GAUGAACGCUAGCGGCAGGCUUAAUACAUGCAAGUCGUGGGGCAGCAUGAAUGUAGCAAUACAUUUGAUGGCGACCGGCAAACGGGUGCGGAACACGUACACAACCUUCCUAUAAGUGGGGAAUAGCCCAGAGAAAUUUGGAUUAAUACCCCGUAACAUAAUGAUGUGGCAUCACAUUAUUAUUAUAGCUACGGCGCUUAUUGAUGGGUGUGCGGCUGGUUAGAUAGUUGGCGGGGUAACGGCCCACCAAGUCUACGAUCAGUAGCUGAUGUUGGGGGAUGAUCGGCCGCAGGGGCAAUGCAACACGGGCCCGACGCCUACGGGAGGCAGCAGUAAGGAAUAUUGGUCAAUGGGCGAAAGUCUGAACAAGCCAUGCCGCGUGAAGGAUUAAGGUCCUCUGGAUUGUAAACUUCUUUUAUCUGGGACGAAAAAAGGCGAUUCUUCGUCACUUGACGGUACCAGAUGAAUAAGCACCGGCUAACUCCGUGCCAGCAGCCGCCGUAAUAC
rnacentral:rRNA from 1 species